rnacentral:rRNA from 1 species
GUGGGGAAUAUUGGACAAUGGGCGCAAGCCUGAUCCAGCCAUGCCGAGUGAGUGAUGAAGGCCCUAGGGUUGUAAAGCUCUUUCACCGGAGAAGAUAAUGACGGUAUCCGGAGAAGAAGCCCCGGCUAACUUCGUGCCAGCAGCCGCGGUAAUACGAAGGGGGCUAGCGUUGUUCGGAAUUACUGGGCGUAAAGCGCACGUAGGCGGACAUUUAAGUCAGGGGUGAAAUCCCGGGGCUCAACCCCGGAACUGCCUUUGAUACUGGGUGUCUGGAGUAUGGAAGAGGUAAGUGGAAUUCCGAGUGUAGAGGUGAAAUUCGUAGAUAUUCGGAGGAACACCAGUGGCGAAGGCGGCUUACUGGUCCAUUACUGACGCUGAGGUGCGAAAGCGUGGGGAGCAAACAGGAUUAGAUACCCCUGUAGUCC